GGCCCCGUAGCUCAGAGGAUAGAGCAGCGGUUUCCUAAACCGUGUGUCGGACGUUCGAAUCGUCUCGGGGCUGCCA
rnacentral:tRNA from 2 species